AGUGAACGCUGGCGGUAGGCCUAACACAUGCAAGUCGAACGGCAGCACAGUAAGAGCUUGCUCUUACGGGUGGCGAGUGGCGGACGGGUGAGGAAUACAUCGGAAUCUACUUUUUCGUGGGGGAUAACGUAGGGAAACUUACGCUAAUACCGCAUACGACCUACGGGUGAAAGCAGGGGAUCUUCGGACCUUGCGCGAUUGAAUGAGCCGAUGUCGGAUUAGCUAGUUGGCGGGGUAAAGGCCCACCAAGGCGACGAUCCGUAGCUGGUCUGAGAGGAUGGUCAGCCACACUGGAACUGAGACACGGUCCAGACUCCUACGGGAGGCAGCAGUGGGGAAUAUUGGACAGUGGGCGCAAGCCUGAUCCAGCCAUACCGCGUGGGUGAAGAAGGCCUUCGGGUUGUAAAGCCCUUUUGUUGGGAAAGAAAAGCAGCAGGUUAAUACCCCGCUGUUCUGACGGUACCCAAAGAAUAAGCACCGGCUAACUUCGU
rnacentral:rRNA from 1 species